rnacentral:rRNA from 1 species
UACGUAGGGUGCGAGCGUUAAUCGGAAUUACUGGGCGUAAAGCGUGCGCAGGCGGUUUUGUAAGUCAGAUGUGAAAUCCCCGGGCUUAACCUGGGAAUGGCAUUUGGGACUGCAAGGCUUGAGUGCGGCAGAGGAGACUGGAAUUCCUGGUGUAGCAGUGAAAUGCGUAGAUAUCAGGAGGAACACCUGUGGCGAAAGCGGCUCACUGGACCAUAACUGACGCUGAUGCACGAAAGCUAGGGGAGCAAACAGG